AUGGUGUUGGAGGAGCGGAGAAGUCUUUGGUUUAGGGUGUUAGCUCAGUGGUAUGGAGAGGAAGGUGGUUGGUUGAGCUCUCUAUUUUCUUUGACUUGUUCAUUCAUUCAUUCAUUUCACAAUAUUAUUAUAAACUCUCUCAAUACUUCUUGCAUUGACUCUCUCUAUCUCUUACUGGUGUUUUCUCUUUUGCUUGUUUUUUCUCUUCAUAUCUCUGUUUUGCUUCAAAGGUAA